GUUACAGCAGCCGCGGUAAUACGAAGGGGGCUAGCGUUGCUCGGAAUCACGGGGCGUAAAGCGCACGUAGGCGGCUUCUCAAGUCAGGGGUGAAAUCCUGGAGCUCAACUCCAGAACUGCCUUUGAUACUGAGGGGCUCGAGUCCGGGAGAGGUGAGUGGAACUGCGAGUGUAGAGGUGAAAUUCGUAGAUAUUCGCAAGGACACCAGUGGCGAAGGCGGCUCACUGGCCCGGUACUGACGCUGAGGUGCGAAAGCGUGGGGAGCAAACAGGAUUAGAAACCCGUGUAGUCC
rnacentral:rRNA from 1 species